GUUUUCAGCUAAUGGAGGGUCCAAGACUAGAAACCCUGUAAGAAGAGUUCUUCAGAGAAUCAGUACAGGGUCAAAGAAGAACAAAAACCACAACCGACACAGUGGUUUCCCUUUAGUGGGAUCACUGAGCUGGUAAAUAACGUUCUUCAACCACAGCAAAAACAACAAAAU